CGAAUCGCCCUAUCCACCCGUGCGGCCGUGCCCUCCACCAGGCAGCCGCCGCCCCCAAAUCUCCCCAUCCACCGUGCGGCCGUGCCCCGCCGCCAGCCAUCCCGCCGCCGCCGGACGCCCUCGACCCGACCACUGCCAACCCCAUCACCGCGGACCGCCCUCCACCCCGACUAGCUCCGCCGUCACCCCCAACUACCCCACAGCAGUGCCGCCGAGUAGCCUACUGAUGCGGACCACCACUGUUGCCGAGCCACACCACCGGUGACCACCAUCCUCCGUCGAACCUCUUCCCUCGCCACCACACUCUUCUUCACGAGCUUGCUCCCCCGAGCAGACCUCCUCCCUAAGAGCACUGCGUAAAAGCAUAAUGUUGAAGUAACUCGAGUUCUUAGGUCCCAAACGACUAGAGAUGUUGAGGACAAAUACAUGGCAAAAGUACAAAGGCUACCACAAGCAAACCUGAGGAGUUGGAAGUGGACAAGUCCAUGGCAAAAGUAGGAAUGCGUCCACAAGCAAGCUGAGGUGAGGUAAUAUUCAUGUUUCUCUUGGCUUUGAGGUCUAAGUGGGUUAUUCUUUUUCUUGUUGGAUGUCUAUUUUUCCAUCUACUGCUCUACGUUCUCCAGAGAUGAUGCUUUUUACUAUUUGCAAUCACGUUUCACACUCUCACCACUAUAGCAAAUCAAUUAGAAUAGAAUCCUGCUGGUUGUGGUUGUCGAUAUAGUUUCUUAUUCUUGCAUGCCAGCUAGAUAUUGAAUUAGAGUGUUAGACGACAUAAUCAUAUUUCAUAGAAUGGUAGGUGAUAUGUAGGAAAGUGAACCGAUAUGUAGGGUACCCUAGACUCUGUUUACAACAUCCUUGAGAUUGAUUCUGUCUGAUAGAAUUCAGCAAAGCAGAUUUGCUAUUUGUUAGCUAUGACCUCUGAGUCUGAAAGCAUAGGCUCAAAUAUGGUAGUUUCAAUCAUAAUGAAUGGAUCAUAGAUCGCCACAGGCAACCCAGGUUGAAAACUUAAUAAGGGCACUAAGAAGUAGAACAUCCUGAAGUGGCGUGCAGAGAUAUUUUAGCUGCAUAUUCCCUGUUGUUUUUUAUGGAGUAGCCGUUGUCAGUGGGGUGUUGAGAAGUGAAAACACGAAUAUCUUUAGUUGGUUAAGUUAAUGUCAUCGUGUUGUCAUCAUGUCUUAAAGGGAACAUGGAUGUAGAAUGUAUGUAUGUGCCUACUUGGUUCCAGUAUGCAGUGCACACUGCCGAAAAAGUUCGAUUGUAAUAUUAAGUGUAAAUAUCAAGGAACCACAACUGUUUGGGCAUAGGUUCUAGAAAACACAAUUUUUGGGGGCGCAGACCUCGAGCUAGCUAUCCUGGCGCAGGGGUUGCGCCACUGCUUCAUCUCGUCCUCGACAGAACUACUCCACUCAGGCAACUAAAAACCCAUAAGGCACAUACUUGGUGUUUCUUCUCCUUCAAGACCCUCUACUUUGAGCAUGUUGCUCAGUCCAAGGCAAGUUCUUUGUCCAAUUUUCUGUGUACAAAUCCUGUCUAAUAUUUUGAACAAUUACCCUGUGUUAUGUGCAUGUGGGGGAGAGGAUAUGAAUGGAUCUGAAGAGCAGCAAGAUUACAAUGGCGAGUGGAGAGACUGAUGCUGUGUUGCUUGCUGAUGCUACUCCUUUUCCCGUCUUCUGCUUUGGUGACCCUCCUCUACACGCUAUGCUGAUUGUGGUGGUGCUGCCGAGCUGCCCCUCCUCUUCUCAUAAGAUUCGUUCUUGUUCUUUUUCUGAUAGAUAGAAGUACUAGAUUGUGCCUUUAUUAGUUGCAUAUUUAUAUUUAGCAAGUGAUCAUUUAGCAUGCAGAUGCACUUUGGACUAACCUCAAAUUUCACUUUGCUUUUUUCAGCUCAGCAUUAUAAAUAAGGCAUUGAACACAUCUCCUGAAGGUUUGACAAGAUCUUGAAGGUGUUGGAGGUUUGGCAAGAUCUGCAAGGCGUCCAUACUUAAUUUUUUUCUGCUAAUUUUGGUGGUUAUUUUAGCGCAUAAGCCGAUGUAUGCUCAUUUUCGCUGUGUAGCACAUCUAGAAACAUGUAUUUUUUUUCCUUUUGUGGCACAACAUCCUUGAUGUAUUUAGAAACAAGU